rnacentral:rRNA from 1 species
UACAUAGGUCCCGAGCGUUGUUCGGAUUCACUGGGCGUAAAGGGUGUGUAGGCGGUUUGGUAAGUCAGGUGUGAAAUCCCGCAGCUUAACUGCGGAACUGCAUUCGAUACUGCCGAACUAGAGGCUUGGAGGGGGAAGCGGAAUUCUUGGUGUAGCGGUGAAAUGCGUAGAUAUCAAGAGGAACCCCGGUGGCGAAGGCGGCUUCCUGGACAAGGCCUGACUCUGAAACACGAAAGCUAGGGGAGCGAAUGGG